CCCGCCGCCCCCGCCUUCCUCUCCCUCAUCUCUUCUUUCUCCCAGAUCCGAUCGAAGCACCGCCGACCUCUCCACCAUCUCCUCCCCGUCCCCCAUCGCGCCGCCAUCCACCUCGUUGCCUCCCAUCUCCUCCCGCCCCUCCCAUCCUCACCUUCCCCUUUCGCCCCUCCUUCCCGGACCCCGACGGCGCCCGCAUCGGCUCCGGCGCCGCCACGCUCCACACCGUCGCCUCCCUCGCCCGCCACCUCAUCUCCCAGGCCACCAAGGAAGAGAUCGCCGAAUUCCUCCCCGAAGCGACCGGCUCCUUCGCAUCCGUGGUGUGCUUCAUGUCCACCAAGCACGUGAUGCUGCUGCACGCCGGCGGCGACAGCAAGAGGGUUCCGUUGGCGAAGCCCAUGGGGAAGGCUUUCCUGCCGGUGCCUUACUUGGCCGGGGGAACCCCGACGGGCCUAUCCCACUGCUCUUCGACCACAUCAGGGGGGUCCAGCGCAAGGCAAUCAUUCAAGACCGGCAUCGGCAAGUCCAACCUACUCUCCCGCUUCACCCGCAACGAGUUCAGCCUCGAGUCCAAGUCCACCAUCAGGGGGGUUGAGUUCGCCACCCGCUCCCUCUAGGUCGAUGGCAAGGUCGUCAAGGCCCAGAUUUGGGACACCGCCGGCUCUUCCUAUCCCCGUCUGUUCGGCGGCAGUUGUGGAGACCAUGGAUGGGACUAUCGUAGAAGCACCAUUUUUCCUUUUUCAGUUAGAUGCCUUUGGAUUGUUUGGCAUCAGACCCUGUUCAAGGAGAUUUGCUUUUGGUAGAUGCAGAGUAUAGAUUAAGUAUUCCAUAAAAUUCACCACAUGAGUAUACUACUUAAUAGCCAAUUUCCAUGGUCAAAUUCAGCCCUGGAUGCAAAUGGACAUCAUGAUUCUGUUAUGCGCCAAGGUCGGUGGUUGAAUUCUCGAUUAGUGUGGAACACAAUGGACAGGGCAAAAUCAGGUCCAAUUUUUUUUCUUGAAUAGCCUACGGUCUUCACUGGACGAUUUUUCUUUUCUUCUUUGACCCAGUUGAUUGUAUGGCACUGAAAUAUAAAUAUUUGUUUGCUCGUCCUCCCUUUUGUAAAUUCAUACCAUGCCUGGAAAUGUUUGAUUGGCCAUCUUCUUCUUAUUGAUCCAUAAAAACUUGACAUUUUUGUUGUAAAAACAUACCUGUGAUAAUCUAGUAAGAACUUGUUGUGUUUGGGUUUGUGGAUCUUAAAAAAUAUAUCAUCUAUGCUUUUAUCCUUGAACUAUUGCUAUGGUGAUGAAUGCCCAUGCGUACCUUUGUUGUCACUUUUUAGGGUGUGCGUAGUUUGUUAAUUCAGGUAACUACAGGAUAUCCUUACUCGUACAAAAUGCCCAGUUGUUGUUCUUGUAAAUAUAGGCGUGCCUACCAUCGCCCCAUCGGCACCAUCACCAAACAGAAAAGGGCUCUAGCCUCUUCUUAUGACAAGAAAAAUAGGCGUUGUUACCUGUUUGCAUCUGAGAUUGCAUAAUAUUGGAGGAAUAUGCUUAAUUUUCCUGUGCAUUUGGCAGAUAUAGUAGUGUUUGUUCUGCUACUAGCAUCAUGUACUGUUUAGUUGGUAUUUGGUAUUAUAUAUUUUUCUUCUAGCCUAUAAUUAUUCAUUUUAGAUCUUGUUGCAUGAUGUGUCAUGUAUAUGACUAGUACUACUAUUUCUGCAUGCUUAUAUGUUUGUGCAUUGACUAGCUUAGCAAGGACAGUAGUGUUCUGUUGAAAUUUGAGGCAUAUCUUUGUUCAUAAGUGUCUUUGUUCCCAUGCAGUGUGCUUUGAAACGUAGGGUUAAUCUUGUGGAGGAGUAGGGCGAAUCGGACAUUGUCUCGCUUGUGCCGCUGUGAUAACAUGCUGAAUGUUGUUCAUGCGACUGUGUAUGAAUCUUCUAUACGUGCAGAUUAUCAGGCAUUUUUAAUGCUGCUGAGAGUGUAACAGAGUGUUUCAACCAACAGCAGAAAAAUCAGUUUGAUGUAUGGAUGCUUCAUGCGGUGGUAGCUAAUGAUCUCUGUACUGAUGACAGUUUUGUGAUCAGGAUAUAAUGUCGUCGAGGUGGCUGCUGCCCUUACCAAAGAUCAGAAGAAGCCUGGAUAUGUGCACCAAGUUUUAGUUGAUGUUGCCACCAAGUUUUGGUGCAUGUGUAUUUGUUUUUUGAUUGUAUGUACACUUGUUGGAUCGUCCAGUAUGUGCUACUGUACAUGUGCUAUUGUGAGUUUCAUUGAUCGAUUUUUGGAUUUGAUCAUUUAAUUGAAAGAAUGUUUUGAUUGUUGCUGUUGAAAUGUGUAAAUUUGAAAUCUAUGAAUGAAAAGGUUUGGAUCUUC